AGAAUCAACGCUGGCGGCGUGCCUCAGACAUGCAAGUCGAACGAUUAAAGCUCCCUUCGGGGAGUGCAUAAAAUGGCGCACGGGUGAGUAACACGUAAGUAAUCUACCCUCGAGUGGGGAAUAACAUCGGGAAACCGAUGCUAAUACCGCAUAAUGCAGCGGCACCGCAAGGUGACAGUUGUUAAAGAUUUAUUGCUUGAGGAGGAGCUUGCGGCAGAUUAGCUUGUUGGUAAGGUAACGGCUUACCAAGCUACGAUCUGUAUCCGGUCUAAGAGGACGGUCGGACACACUGACACUAGAAUAACGGGUCAGACUCCGUACGGGAGGCAGCAGGUCGGGUAAUUUUGGGCAAAGUUAGGGGGGAAACCCGUGGAACCCCAGACAACCGCCGCCGUGAAGGAUGAAGUUAUUUCGGUAA
rnacentral:rRNA from 1 species